GUCCAGACUCCUACGGGAGGCAACAGUGAGGAAUAUUGGUCAAUGGCCGUAAGGCUGAACCAGCCAAGUAGCGUGAGGGAAGACUGCCCUAUGGGUUGUAAACCUCUUUUAUGCGGGGAUAAAGGUGUCCACGUGUGGAUGUUUGCAGGUACCGCAUGAAUAAGGACCGGCUAAUUCCGUGCCAGCAGCCGCGGUAAUACGGAAGGUCCGGGCGUUAUCCGGAUUUAUUGGGUUUAAAGGGAGCGUAGAUGGGUUGUUAAGUCAGUUGUGAAAGUUUGCGGCUCAACCGUAAAAUUGCAAUUGAUACUGGCAGUCUUGAGUACAGUUGAGGUAGGCGGAAUUCGCGGUGUAGCGGUGAAAUGCUUAGAUAUCACGAAGAACUCCGAUUGCGAAGGCAGCAUACCGGCGCUCAACUGACGCUGAAGCACGAAGGCGUGGGUAUCGAACAGGAUUAGAUACCCCAGUA
rnacentral:rRNA from 1 species